rnacentral:rRNA from 1 species
AAGUGGAGCAAUCCAUGAGUAAAGUGGCGACCGGGUGAGUAACACGUGACUAACCUACCUUCGAGUGGGGAAUAACCUCGGGAAACCGGGGCUAAUACCGCAUAAUGUCUUCGGACCAAAGGAGCAAUUCGCUGGAAGAGGGGGUCGCGGCCGAUUAGUUAGUUGGCGGGGUAAUGGCCCACCAAGACAGUGAUCGGUAUCCGGCCUGAGAGGGCGCACGGACACACUGGAACUGAAACACGGUCCAGACUCCUACGGGAGGCAGCAGUGGGGAAUUUUGCGCAAUGGGGGAAACCCUGACGCAGCAACGCCGCGUGGAGGAUGAAGUCCUUCGGG